GGUAGGUGUGGUGACACACAUCUGUAGUCCCAGCUACUUGGGAGCCUGAGGCAAGAGGAUCACUUGAGCCCAGGAUUGAAGGCCAGCUUUUCAACAUAGGGAGACCCUGUGUCGGU
rnacentral:sRNA from 1 species